GAAGUUCAUUGUUGCCAGAAAAAACAAGAAACAGCAUAUCUGAAAUUUAAUCUUCCUUAAAUUUGCAGAGCAGUCUAAAGAGAAGAUUAACCAUAUAAACUGGGCAUAUUUCGUUAUUCCUCUCAGGAUAUGCAUAAUAACUUUCCCCCACCCAGUGUUUUCUGUUGCUAUUGAUUACUGAGUUUCACUCCUCAGUAAAUUCAGUCUCAGCAAAGGGGAUCCCCUUGGUCACACUCUGGGCAAAAAAGGGCUGCUCUGAUGGCUGUGAAGCUUUCUCAGUCCACUGAGGGCAACAUCACUGACUUCAGCAGAGACAAACAUAAUAUGUAAUUUUUUUUGUAUAUUUCUUUCAUGAAAGAAAGUUAGUCCUUUGCUGCAACUUCAAAAUUACAGAAACAGACAUUGCCAGAAUUGGUUUAUCAUCAGUGGCAUCUCUUGACUUCAUCUCAAGAACAGGGAAUAUUGAAUAUAUUUUUACUCAAUGAAAGAGAUAAGUUAUUGUGCAUUUUCAUUUAUGCUACUCCGUCUCCAGAAGACUUGUUAAAAAUCAUAAGCUAGAUCACCCAUCGCCAUGGAAACUGGGAGAAAACAUCAGUGCUGAAGGAUUUAUUUCAUAUUGCUUGAAUUAAAUAGUUUACACCAGGGUUGGUUCUUUGUUCUGAGACUGUUGCUGGACCUUCAAACUUUGUUACUUGAACGUAGAUUCUCUCCACAGUUUGACAGUGAAUCUUCUUCAAGUUACAUCUGGAGGACUCUUUCCUGUCCUAAACUCUCGGGAAGGCUAGGUUGACAUAGACAGUUAUUCCAAGGGAAAAAAGCAUACCUUAAAUAUUUGAGUGGCCAAUUUUGCUUUCUGUGACCUGUGUGGUCUAAGCCUUCACAGCCUUUGAAACUACCUUUGAGUUAUUGUUGCAGUUCAGUCAAGCGGGACUACUCACAUUAUCAGCUUCCAAACUGCAGAGCAGGAAUUACUUGGCAGUGAUGAUCCAUUCUGGGUAACCCACAACUUAUGCUCUCCCUAGCCAUCUCAGGCUCACACUAAAUCCUCUUAACUUUCAAGAAAUCCUGGAAAACAUCUUUACCUGUGGUUGCUUUCAGGCAGGAAAAAAAGACUGCAUAGAAACAAAGCAAGUCAUACAACUGCUGGAAAACUUCUGUCUUCUUGUUGGUCUCUUAGGUUUUAGAAUCUGGCUUAGUCUGAAAGGCUUUGUCAUUAUUUAUAUUUUUGCUGUAUUUAUAAUUAUCUGGGUAAGUAUUUGAUUGAGGACAGGCACUUUUAAAGUUGAAAGUAAAUAUUGGCUAAACUCAUAUUCCAAAAUAUUCUACAUAGCAAAGUCCCUCUGAAAGCAUUUUGGUUGACCUUGCUUGGCAUUACUGCAGCAUGAUUACCCUCUGUUCUCUCACAAGGAGAGAGAAAAGUUGAAUACAUCAGUCAAAAUAAGCAGACUGGUUUGCUUUAAGUCCUACUUACUAAAGCAAACCCAAAAUAAUGAACUAACUUUGAUUCUUAAAUAAACAUAUUUGAGAUUGUUAUUUUAACACAUCUGGUAACAUGAAAUGGCCUCUUCUGAGUCUCACAAACGUCCAUAUCUACUAGUCCCAAAUCCUCAUAAGCACUAAGAUCUUGUUUUCCAAUCUGUCUUUUGGAAUGAAUGACUUUAACCAAACGUGUCACUGAACCUAUUGUAUUUGAAGUAAAUGACUGAAGAGAUAAUAAGUAUAAAGAACUGAAUAAUGAAUUAUUGGAAAUAAUGUAUGAGAAAUAAUUGCAAUAAUAUGCGAGAACACUGUAAUAUAUGUGAAAAAAAAAGAACAAUAAAUCAGUUAUUUUUACUCUGAGAGCCAUUCCAAUCUGCAGCUCUUAUUUUCUGCACUGGAUUAUUGGGGGUUUCACUGCUGGUGUCCAGAUCUGGCAAGAAGAUAAGAGCUGUUAAUAAGAAACUCUCAUACUUGGGGAAAAUCUUGUAAGUCCUGAAGACCGUCAAAGAGCAAAAUCAUUGCAUGAUGUAAUCUAGUUGACUGGAGAAAAAAGAAAAGCCUCUUGAACACUGUGAGGAUACUAUAUACAGAUUUCUUGAAGUGCUUUGGUUAAGUAAAUAUAUGUGCUAUUUUAACAGUUCUUCUGAUGAGAGAGUAGAUUGAACAGAUA
ensembl:lncRNA